rnacentral:rRNA from 1 species
UACAGAGGUCCCAAGCGUUGUUCGGAUUUACUGGGCGUAAAGGGUGCGUAGGUGGCGAGGUAAGUUCGAUGUGAAAUCUCCGAGCUCAACUCGGAAAUGGCAUUGAAUACUAUCCCGCUUGAGGGUCGGAGGGGAGACUGGAAUUCUCGGUGUAGCAGUGAAAUGCGUAGAUAUCGAGAGGAACACCAGUGGCGAAGGCGAGUCUCUGGACAGUUCCUGACACUGAGGCACGAAGGCCAGGGGAGCAAACGGG